CACACUAAGAAGCUAAUAGGACAGCACUAGCCUUUUAAGCUAGAAAAAGAGAACUCCGCCCCUCCUUAGUGU
rnacentral:tRNA from 1 species